GAUGAACGCUGGCGGCGUGCCUAAUACAUGCAAGUCGAGCGAACAGACGAGGAGCUUGCUCCUCUGACGUUAGCGGCGGACGGGUGAGUAACACGUGGAUAACCUACCUAUAAGACUGGGAUAACUUCGGGAAACCGGAGCUAAUACCGGAUAAUAUAUUGAACCGCAUGGUUCAAUAGUGAAAGACGGUUUUGCUGUCACUUAUAGAUGGAUCCGCGCCGCAUUAGCUAGUUGGUAAGGUAACGGCUUACCAAGGCAACGAUGCGUAGCCGACCUGAGAGGGUGAUCGGCCACCCUGGAACUGAGACACGGUCCAGACUCCUACGGGAGGAAGCAGUAGGGAAUCUUCCGCAAUGGGCGAGAGCUUGACGGAGCAACGCCGCGUGAGUGAUGAAGGUCUUCGGAUCGUAAAACUCUGUUAUUAGUGAAGAACAAAUGUGUAAGUAACUAUGCACGUCUUGACGGUACCUAAUCAGAAAGCCACGGCUAACUACGUG
rnacentral:rRNA from 1 species